rnacentral:rRNA from 1 species
UACGUAGGGUGCAAGCGUUUGUCCGGAAUUAUUGGGCGUAAAGAGCUCGUAGGCGGCUUGUCACGUCUGCUGUGAAAACUCGGGGCUCAACCCCGAGCCUGCAGUGGAUACGGGCUAGCUAGAGUGCGGUAGGGGAGACUGGAAUUCCUGGUGUAGCGGUGGAAUGCGCAGAUAUCAGGAGGAACACCGGUGGCGAAGGCGGGUCUCUGGGCAGUAACUGACGCUGAGGAGCGAAAAGCGUGGGGAGCGAACAGG